rnacentral:lncRNA from 1 species
GUGAGUGGAAGCUCUAUCACUUUGCCCAUCAGCUCACAAACUCAGAAAACUGCUUGGAUGGAUCUGUUCUGUCGGGUGUGGGGAGAGUCCUUCCUUGAUCAAUGCUUAAUGAGCCAACUCUGUCAUCUUCCUUUCUGUGCCCUCCAUCAGAGAGGUUGGAAAGAGGGAGGAGCUAUAGAGCUGCAGCUUACUAAAGCCACUAGCCUCUGUCAUUGUUCUGUUUGUUCCUCCUCGCCUUGGGAAAAAACUCAAAGCUAUAUCAUCUUGAUAAGAGCUUUCUAUUAAAAACCAGUGCAUACAUUAUUAUUAUCUCUUGAGAGAUGAAGAAAUGGAGGCUCAGAGACAUUAAGAGAUUUGCCCAGAGGGAGUAUCAUGGUGGAGACUUCCGAGGCCCGGGCUGGGGCAUUUUCCACCGUAACACAGUGCUACAUGGAAACACCUCAUAAAGACUGCAUUGCUUUAAUUUAAUUUACAAUAUAAGCUUGAGUGUUUCCAAAGAAAUCAAAUGUGAUGUUCACGCUUUGUUUCCUACAGCGGUGGUUACCCUGUAUCAUUCCGUAGGCUUGCUGUCCUUGGGCAAAUGUGACGCUGCACACCUAAUAAUCACAGCCAGUCUAGCGGAGGCCUGUGCUGCCGGAGAGCUCCGUGGAUGCCGACCAGCAUUAUUUAAGUUUUCAUUCAAAAUCUCCUUUAGGGUGACUUCUGUGCACCUGAACUUCCCGUUCAAGAAGAUCAACAAAUGGCUGAAGACAGAUUUUUCAGCCAGAGGAAAGAAUUAUUACCUUACCAUCAGUCUAAUGAAAACAGAGGUGAAAUACCAACCUGCAGUAGAUAAACAGCACACCGAGCCAUCCAUCACAUUCAGCCUUACUGAGCAGAACACCCUAACCGAUUUCGCCUGAUUUUCCUGCGCCUCUUGCAGACAGGCAUUCACAAUAUCAGAGAGCUGAGACAUUUUCCAGCAAGCUUUCGUCAGAAUAAAAACCUGAUCAGGAAUCCUUGAAGCCAUCCCGUCUCCCAAUCUAAAUUCCCCUUUCUCUCUAGCUAUGAACACCAAUAGCUUAUUAAAGACUUGCUUCUCACUCGCAAGCUCUGCCAAGCUGGCAUUCCCUUCCAGGAGCUGGUUUCUAUUAUUAUUGGAUCUACACAGCACCUCCAACGACAACUCUCUUUUUCAGAACCUUCUAGUUGAUAAUUAGCAUAUCCAUUCAUUCAGCAGAAAUACCUGCCCAUUACUAGGCACUCCGGGUAUAGAGAUACAAGGCCCCUGUCUUCCAGGAGCUGAAAGUCAAAGGAAAAAGGCAUCUUGCCUAUCUAUAGACCUUUUCUUUCAUUUUUCACAUAUAUCAUCACUCAUUUUGCCUUAGCAAUGGUGAAUCAAAGACAGCAAUGCACAUGUUGUUAACAAUGGCCGUUGAGGAACAUGUUUGAAGGGCUCUAACACAUUAUAAAUUGUGCUAAUGUCUGUUGAUCUUUGCAAUAAGGAAUCAUAAUAGAAACAACAAAACUAUGAAAUAGAUUUGUGGAAUGCUUAUGAUGUGAAAGGCGCUAAUCAUAUUUUGUUUAAUACUUAUGGAAAUCCCACAAGAUCGUAGUAUCCCCAAUACACAAAUGAAGAAAUGGAGCCCAGCCUGAGAGUAUACAUCUAGUGAGUAGCAAAGCCACUAUUUGGACCCAGGUAUUUUUCAGGGUAUUCAGAGAUGGUCAUACUGUAUCUGGUUAAUUCACAAGAAACUAAUAAGUAAAAGAAAAUUUUCACUAUCCAUAGUGGAGGAUAUCCCUUUCUGGGGUCCAGAAUACCUUGCUCCUAUCCAUGGAACACCUUCCUCAUAUCACAUUUUUAAUCAGAAAUCUGCAAAGGGAGAGCGAAUAGUAUCAGAGGAUGUUCCAUACAGACUACGGUAAGGACAGAUGAGAUGACACUUCAAGUCAUACACACAUGUGUACACACACAAACACACAUACAUGCACACGGACAUGAUCUCUGGUGACUGGAGUGAUUCCCCCUUUCACUUCCAUCACCAUCUCUCUAGGACAAUUCUACACAAGUCACAAAACUCUGCCUAUAUGAUUACUUAUUUUGUGUUCCAGUGCAGAUCAUCCAAGGUGAGCUUUUGUCCUUAGCCUGGGAUAGGCCAUAUUCCCAGAGUAAGUAUGCCUUGUAAAUUAGCUCCUUAGUACACUAAUGAGUAUGACAUUUUUAAAAAAGCAAGAGGUCAUGUGAUAGAGUUCUAUGGUUUAAAACAUGUUUAAGAAAUGCAAAUGUAAACAAAGUGAAAUCGGCACUGUGACUAUGGAAGAUUGUCCCAAACAGAUUUGAGAAGCACUGUAGGACUCAUGCUCCUUAGGACACUGGGCUGUACUCCUGCUUCUUCUGAAAUCACAUUUUGCAAAAG